GCUUGUGAGUGGAAUUGCGUCUCCGUUUGCGCCGUGUGUGGAUAGCUUGCUAUGCGUGUGUGGCUGUAUUUGGAUUGAUGCGAGUCUUAGCUUAUUGCCGUUCGGGACGUUGACGAAAUGGAGCGAUUUGACCCGUCUUGAAACACGGACCAAGGAGUCUAACAUGUGUGCAAGUGUUAGGGUGUGGAAACCCAAGCGCGUAAUGAAAGUAAAGGACAGCGUAAGUUGUCUGAGGUAGGAAAUGCUGUGGACUUCGGUUUGCGGCGUGGCACUAUCGACCGAUCAUGAACCUUCGUGGUGAAAGAUUUGAGUUUGAGCACAUAUGUUGGUACCCGAAAGAUGGUGAACUAUGCCUGAGUAGGGUGAAGCCAGGGGAAACUCUGGUGGAAGCUCGUAGCGAUUCUGACGUGCAAAUCGAUCGUCAAACUUGGGUAUAGGGGCGAAAGACUAAUCGAACCAUCUAGUAGCUGGUUCCCUCCGAAAUUUCCCUCAGGAUAGCAGCAACUUAUUUACGAUAGUUUUAUGAGGUAAAGCGAAUGAUUAGAGGAUUCGGGGAAGAAACUUUCUCGACCUAUUCUCAAACUUUAAAUCUGUAAGACCUGCAGGUUUCUUAAUU
rnacentral:rRNA from 1 species